rnacentral:rRNA from 1 species
UCGGGAAUUUUGGGCAAUGGGCGAAAGCCUGACCCAGCAACGCCGCGUGAAGGAUGAAGUAUUUCGGUAUGUAAACUUCGAAAGAAUAGGAAGAAUAAAUGACGGUACUAUUUAUAAGGUCCGGCUAACUACGUGCCAGCAGCCGCGGUAAUACGUAGGGACCAAGCGUUGUUCGGAUUUACUGGGCGUAAAGGGCGCGUAGGCGGCAUGACAAGUCACUUGUGAAAUCUCUGGGCUUAACCCAGAACGGCCAAGUGAUACUGUCGCGCUAGAGUGCAGAAGGGGCAAUCGGAAUUCUUGGUGUAGCGGUGAAAUGCGUAGAUAUCAAGAGGAACACCUGAGGUGAAGACGGGUUGCUGGGCUGACACUGACAUUAAGGGACGAAAGCGUGGGGAGCGAAUGGGAUUAGAUACCCGAGUAGUCCCUGAGCGGGCUGGCAAGGCGCAU